rnacentral:rRNA from 1 species
UACGUAGGGUCCGAGCGUUGUCCGGAAUUAUUGGGCGUAAAGGGCUCGUAGGCGGUCUGUAACGUCGGUGGUGAAAACUCAGGGCUCAACCCUGAGCGUGCUUCCGAUACGGGCAGACUAGAGGUAUUCAGGGGAGAACGGAAUUCCUGGUGUAGCGGUGGAAUGCGCAGAUAUCAGGAGGAACACCGGUGGCGAAGGCGGUUCUCUGGGAAUUACCUGACGCUGAGGAGCGAAAGCAUGGGGAGCGAACAGG